AGUGCCAGAUUGGGACUGCAGAGACACCCAACCUCAUGAUGUGAGCAACUACAGGUUUCUUGGCUUCUCCUGUAUGAGACAACCAUUGUUGGACUACCCGGAUAUGGUUGUUUUCUUGUUCUGAUGGGGGAGCCGAGCUGUCGCAGUGGACGUGACGUGAUUGCAAAGCCUCAGUAGUUAUUCCCUGGCUUUCUGGGCUCAGCCACUGGACAGGAGCAAUAAGCCAUCUCUAAAGUCAUCCUUGGCACAAGAAGAUGACAUUCAGAAAAUUCAGUGUCCAGCAGGAGUCGAGCCCUUUUCUGCGGUCACAUGCUGCUGUUGGGGUGCCUGCAACUUCAAGGCUCUCUGCUUACUGUGUUCUCUCCAAGUCCAAGACCAGGAGCUCCUUUCUAAAUAUGGGAUGGGCACGUGUUCCCGGCUGGCGGACUCAAUAUGCCCUGUCUUACCUUUCCCACCUUCUUGCUGUUUUAUGUAAAAUAGGAUUCCUUGUGGCACUGUGAAUCUACUCCCACUUGGUUGUGCCCCUGGGAGCCUGUGUCUCCCAGGGACAUUAGCAGCCUCCUAUGAACUUGGUAUUCAGACGUUCCAUUCCCUCCCACCCCUCAAGCCCAUUCCACUUCAUCCCUUCUCUUUUUCUCCUCCAUCAAGAUGUGCCAGCAUUGUCCUCAGCAGCUGAAAAUGGGGACAGUAUUCAGUCCUCAGUUUCCCUCAAACUCGUGAGCGUCAUCGGGAGAGUUAGCAGUGCCGAAGCAGAAAGCGUCUGGAGCUCAUUCCCCUCAGACGUGGCUGUGCCACAUCUACAGAAGGGUCCAUGUGAGUCUGAGUGACAAUUGCCGCCGUGUGUAUAGCAAGUACCCCCCAGUGGAGGAAAAUGCACACUGUUUAUUCACUCAUUUCCACCAGCAGUGACCUCUGAGCUAGCAGGUAUGCCAACCCCAAAGAAACAUCCCUGAAGGUUGGACAGACAGAGGAUUGGGAGAGGGGAAGCUGAGUGCAGUCGAACUGGUUCCUCCUGUAUUCAGCCCUGGCCCAGGGGCUGUCUCCACGUGCUCAAGUCCUAUUUGUCACCCGGGAUCCACCUCCCAGGGACAGUUCUAGAGUCGCCUCGCAUGCCUCUGAGCACCCUCACCAUGUCACUACCUCAGUAUCUAAUAUAUAUAUAUAUAUAAAAUAUG